rnacentral:rRNA from 1 species
UACGUAGGGUGCGAGCGUUGUCCGGAAUUAUUGGGCGUAAAGGGCUCGUAGGCGGUCUGUCGCGUCGGCUGUGAAAACCCGGGGCUCAACCCCGGGCCUGCAGUCGAUACGGGCAGGCUAGAGUCCGGUAGGGGAGACUGGAAUUCCUGGUGUAGCGGUGAAAUGCGCAGAUAUCAGGAGGAACACCAAUGGCGAAGGCAGCACUCUGGGACGUGACUGACGCUGAGACGCGAAAGCGUGGGGAGCAAACAGG